rnacentral:snoRNA from 1 species
CGUCCAUUUCUUGACACGCUUGUAGUUGCUCAGUACUCGUGUGUGUGUGUGUGAUUGUACGGAGGUAGAACAAAGCCAAUGCUAUGUCUUCGGUGCCAGUGUGAUAUUGUCUGCUGGUUCUAUCCUCAAUCGCUGGCACACUU